rnacentral:rRNA from 1 species
UACGGGGGGGGCAAGCGUUGUUCGGAAUUACUGGGCGUAAAGGGCUCGUAGGUGGCCAACUAAGUCAGACGUGAAAUCCCUCGGCUUAACCGGGGAACUGCGUCUGAUACUGGAUGGCUGGAGUAUGGGAGAGGGAUGCGGAAUUCCAGGUGUAGCGGUGAAAUGCGUAAAUAUCUGGAGGAACACCGGUGGCGAAGGCGGCAUCCUGGACCAUUACUGACGCUGAGGAGCGAAAGCCAGGGGAGCAAACGGG